rnacentral:rRNA from 1 species
CCUACGGGAGGCAGCAGUGGGGAAUAUUGGACAAUGGGGGGAACCCUGAUCCAGCCAUGCCGCGUGUGUGAAGAAGGCCCUCGGGUUGUAAAGCACUUUCAGUGAGGAAGAACGCCUGGUGGUUAAUACCCAUCAGGAAAGACAUCACUCACAGAAGAAGCACCGGCUAACUCCGUGCCAGCAGCCGCGGUAAUACGGAGGGUGCGAGCGUUAAUCGGAAUUACUGGGCGUAAAGCGCGCGUAGGUGGCUUGAUAAGCCGGUUGUGAAAGCCCCGGGCUCAACCUGGGAACGGCAUCCGGAACUGUCAAGCUAGAGUGCAGGAGAGGAAGGUAGAAUUCCCGGUGUAGCGGUGAAAUGCGUAGAGAUCGGGAGGAAUACCAGUGGCGAAGGCGGCCUUCUGGACUGACACUGACACUGGGGUGCGAAAGCGUGGGUAGCAAACAGGAUUAGAUACCCUGGUAGUC